ACUUUGAGGCUCUGCUACAAGUCUCUCAUUUUGGAGGUGAAGGAAACGGAGGCUGAGAGUGUUGAUGUGAGUGGCUUGCAAAUCCUGAUUCUGAAGCUCCUGGACUAAUGACAAUCAUAUCCCUUGCCCUUCAAUCUCUUUUUCGACAGCCACCCUAACCCAGAAUCCUAAACAAGAGGCGUAGCCAUGAUAGGAUCUCUCUCCUAUUUCCCUUCUGAGUGUUGUCCAUUGCUUCUAGCCUAUUCCCAUCUUUCUUGUCCUGACCCAAGUCACCUUCCUGGGGAAGGGCCCCCUCCUCUGCCUGUUUCUGUACCAGCACCUACCUUUUCCCUAUCAACAGCUCGCUUUCCUGGUUCAUUCCAUUCCUUAAUAUGUAUCAACUCAAUUUAAUAAGCAAGUGUUUAUUUAGCAAUAGAACUGGGUCAGACCCUAUCGUGCCCUUGAGGAGGAAGGCAAACUAGAAGCUGUGAUUAAGUUAACAGAUAAGACAAAUAAAUAACAGGAUAUAUAAGGUGAGGAGAGACCUUAGUGACUGCCCAGCUCAGUUCCUCAUUUUAUAAGUAAUGUUUAAGAGCAAUGACCCACUCCUACUUUCAGCAAAGAGGUGCACAUAGCAUAGACCCAUAGAAGAGGAAGGAUCUGAGAAGGAGUUUGAAAAAAGUGUAGGAGAGGCUGCGAGAAAACAAGGCAGGUGUCCUGGCUGAGGGCAGGAAGGAGACAUUGCGAUGGAAAUUGUGCCCCAUUUUCUUGGAGGAUUGGGAAGAGGACCUGUGGACUGGGCGGCCCACACAACUGCUGUAACCUCAGGCAGUUUUCAAGCAGAUUGACCUUCCUGCUGGAACACGGCACAUGAGGUGAAGUUCUCCUCUACCCAGGGUUGCUUGGCCUUGCCUCCACCAUGCCUGACACUGGCGCUCUGCUGGGAGGAAAAAGCUUGCUCUGUUGCUGGCUGUGUGGAACAGAGAGGGAAGUGGCAGACAGUCUGGGCCCAGCACUUGGGUAUCGUGCUCUAGCCAUGCGACUCAUCUCUCCAGUUCAGACCUGCCCCUGGAAAAAAGAGCCCAGACCUCAUCAUGAAUGCUUUCCUAGGAGAAAAUGAACAGCUGGACAAUGCUCCUGGUCAGUAGGCCUGAAGGAUGCUGGGAUGCAGCCCUCAAGAUGGAACAGCCAGGAUGCCAAGUAUCCCUCUUGCCCAGAUCCUAAGGCACUUUUUCUACUGAUCCAUAUUGGCCUCAGGAGAUGUCUCAACACAGCACCCCAGCCAAUGGAGCUGCCACAUAAGAUGAACUCUUGAUCAUCUCUAAACUAGAGAGUUAAACUCAACACUAGCAAACGACUUUGGGUUUAUGCAUAUGUCAUGUUUUCUCUGGCAACUGCACAGAAUCAUCUCUAAAUAUCACAUCUAUGGUUGGCAGGAGUGGCAUGUAUAAUACAAAAUGUCUGGUGGCCCUACUGUCACAAAACCUGUAUAAAAGUAAAUUCACAAAUGGCUUUUUAGAACUGAUGACAAAAAGUUACUCGUUAUCACUUUUCUAAUUAAUUUCCUAAAAGGGCAAUUUGAAAUCAUACUGGGAUUCUCACAAUUUUGGUUGACAGUCAAGUAAAUUGCAGCUACUUAUCAAGCACUUUUGAAUGAAUACAUGAAGAAUGAAUAAAAUGAAAGCUCUCCUGUUGCCCUCAGCAUCA